rnacentral:rRNA from 1 species
UACGUAGGAUGCUAGCGUUGUCCGGAUUUACUGGGCGUAAAGAGCGCGCAGGCGGUCGUUCAAGUCGCGUGUGAAAGCCCCCGGCUCAACUGGGGAGGGUCACGCGAUACUGAUCGACUCGAAGGCAGGAGAGGGUAGUGGAAUUCCCGGUGUAGUGGUGAAAUGCGUAGAUAUCGGGAGGAACACCAGUGGCGAAGGCGGCGCUCUGGAACGUUACUGACGCUGAGACACGAAAAGCGUGGGGGAGCAAACAGG